AUGCUCUGAUGUUCAGCACCAUCUCUGCACACCCCCGUAUGCACGCAUACCUGCACUCACAGCUCGAGGACAAAAUGCUGCUGGCACGGCACAGCCAACACGCAGGCGGUGGGCAAUGUCAGGAGGAAAGGCGCCCCCUUACGCUCAUUCAUUCUCCUCUCUUGAAUGAACGCAUCGGGGCACAGCUGAAGCCCCAUCCUGAGAUGUGGAUUGCUGUGGGGUUCCUCGUCGGUGGGAUAUGGGGAUCCUGGGAUGGUGAUGGCGGUCCUCUCAGAAACUGUGGGAGUCCGAGAAGCAGGGGGGGGGGCUGAGGGUGUAAGGGAUAUCUGAGAAAGGAAAUAGGGGGGUUCAGCGGGAGCUCAGAGGGGGACGUGGGGUGCUGCUGGGGACUGUGGGGCUCUGUGAGGUCCCAGGUUUCCGGGGGGAGGUGUACUGGGAAAAGGUUUUUGAGGAGCUAUGGGGCUCUGUGGGGGCCGUGGGGGGGAUAUAGGGACAUUGUGGGAUAUGGGGACACAGCCUUCAGGAGCAGAAUGCUGUUCAGGAGAAGACAAGACGUGAGCUGCAGGUGGGACACAGGGGUAUGGUGUAGUAUGGGGACAUAGAGAGUAUGGGAGGAUGUGGGGAGCGGUUUGAGGUAAAAAGAGGUUGGGGGGGCAGUGUUGGAGUGGUUUCAAUUCAUCCUGAGAGGGGACUGGGCGUCCCUGUGGCCCAAAGGUGGGGCCCUGAGCCAUAACCCCACAUGAGCCAUAACCCAAGAUGACCUCAUCACCCUGUAUGUGCGUGACCCCAUGGCUGCACGUGAGCCGCAGCCCUGGGGGAACCAUACCCCCACAUGAC
ensembl:lncRNA